AACGAACGCUGGCGGCGUGCCUAAGACAUGCAAGUCGUGCGGAAAGGCUCCUUCGGGAGCGCUCGAGCGGCGCACGGGUGAGUAACGCGUGGGUACUCUGCCUUCGGGUUCGGGACAACUCCGGGAAACUGGAGCUAAUACCGGAUAAGACUACGGGGCUCUCGGGCCCUGCAGAAAAAGGUGGCCGAUGCUUGCAAGCUACCGCCCGUUGAUGAGCCUGCGUCCCAUGAGCGAGUUGGUGGGGUAACGGCCUACCAAGGCGAUGAUGGGUAGCUGGUCUGACAGGAUGAUCAGCCGCACUGGAACUGAGACACGGUCCAGACUCCUACGGGAGGCAGCAGUCGGGAAUUUUGGGCAAUGGGCGAAAGCCUGACCCAGCAACGCCGCGUGAGGGAUGAAGGCCUUCGGGUCGUAAACCUCUGUCGGGAGGGGAGAACGGUCGCGAUUCGAAUAGGGUCGUGACCUGACGGUACCUCCAAAGGAAGCACCGGCUAACUCCGUGCCAGCAGCCGCGGUAAAAC
rnacentral:rRNA from 1 species